rnacentral:lncRNA from 1 species
GGGACUUCCGAUUCCAGGAGGAGUGGAGAAAGAGACAAGAAGAGAGGUCCAGGAAGCAUUGGGAGAAGUGAGCUGGAAAAAGAAAUGACUAAAAAAAAUAUCCCAAGGAAAUGGAAUGCUUUGUCACCACAUUAUAGGACUUACGAGAAGUAGUUGGGCAUAGAGGCUUAUGCCUGUGACCUCUGCACUUCGGGGACUGAAGCUCCAGGCCAUGAAUUAUGAACCUGCAGGAAGCAAUCAGUGAGCCUGGGGUGGCCAUGGAGGGGCCAAAGACAUAUACUUCUGCAAAGAAAGCCAAGGAAAAAAAGAACUUUGCUUCAUGGCCGCCUCUCUUGCCUGAGUGUCAGCUGUUUGACAUCUUUCCACUCCUCCGAGCAACACAGAAGAACAUGGCUCUCUCAGAAGACGAACCGGGCAUCCUCCCAAAACUGUCACAAAAUGGCACAUCCUGCAGUAUUUACUGAUCCCCUGGGAAAUGCUAACCAGAAAUUGGGUUUGCUUCUUGACUUGUGUCUUCACAGUUGAAAACCUUCUAAAAUGGACCUGUCGCUUUGCCACACACAGACCAGGAAAACCCUAAGGGGCAAGAACUUGGAAAGAUUUCGGAUCUUUAUGAAGCACUCUGACUCAAAUUCCGACUUGAUUUCUGGAGAGACGAAG